rnacentral:rRNA from 1 species
UACGUAGGGGGCUAGCGUUGUCCGGAAUCAUUGGGCGUAAAGAGCGUGUAGGCGGCCCGGUAAGUCCGCUGUAAAAGUCAAAGGCUCAACCUUUGAAUGUCAGUGGAUACUGCCGGGCUAGAGUCCGGAAGAGGCGAGUGGAACUCCUGGUGUAGCGGUGAAAUGCGCAGAUAUCAGGAGGAACACCGGUGGCGAAGGCGGUUCUCUGGGCAUUACCUGACGCUGAGGAGCGAAAGUGUGGGGAGCGAACAGG